rnacentral:ncRNA from 2 species
AGCUUCAACCUUGGUGAUAGGUUCCCCCGAGCGAGCGACGAGGGGGAUUAAUAGGGAACACGGUGCGGCGGACCCCUCUGGGGACCUAAUCCGUGGCUGCCCCCGCAACUGUGAGCAGCGAGUCGACGCCGACUUCGUGCCACUGGCCCUGUAUCCGGGGCUGGGAAGGCGUGGCGACCGACUACGACCUGCGAGCCAGGAGACCUGCCGUCACCGGAAGAGCCGU